CACUCACCAAUCGAUAGCUUGAAAGAAUACAACAGUCUAUCGGGCAAUAGAUUGCUUGUCUCCCCACUAUUAAAAAUAAAUUCAAGCGAUGCUUUGUGAACCAAGGCAUGACUACAUGGUAUACUCUUUCCAGCCCUACAUUCUUUUUCAAGCAUUAUUCCAUCAGAAGAGUCAGCAACCGUCGUUCUCCAUGAUCGCUCGCAUUAAAAAGAGCAAAGUGAAGAUGCUGCUCAAAUAAUUAUCUCAGAUUAGCAUGCAUGAGUAAUUACCUCAGAUCGACAUGUGUGAUUAACUGUCUUAGAUCACCAUUCUCAAAUAAUUGUCU
rnacentral:lncRNA from 1 species